GACGAACGCUGGCGGCGUGCUUAACACAUGCGAGUCGAACGGAAAGGCCCUGCUUUUGUGGGGUGCUCGCGUGGCGAACGGGUACGUAACACGUGAGUAACCUGCCCUUGACUUUGGGAUAACUUCACGAAACUAGGGCUAAUACCUGAUAGGACCUCCUGCUGCAUGGUGGGGGUUGGAAAGAUUCGGCGGUUGGGGAUGGACUCGCGGCUCAUCAGCUUGUUGGUGGGGUAGUGGCUUACCAAGGCUUUGACGGGUAGCCGGCCUGAGAGGGUGACCGGCCACAUUGGGACUGAGAUACGGCCCAGACUCCUACGGGAGGCAGCAGGGGGGAAUAUUGCACAAUGGGCGGAAGCCUGAUGCAGCAACGCCGCGUGCGGGAUGACGGCCUUCGGGUGGUAAACCGCUUUCGCCUGUGACGAAGCGUGAGUGACGGUAAUGGGUAAAGAAGCACCGGCUAACUACGUG
rnacentral:rRNA from 1 species